rnacentral:rRNA from 1 species
GACGAACGCUGGCGGCGUGCUUAACACAUGCAAGUCGAACGGUAAGGCCCUUCGGGGUACACGAGUGGCGAACGGGUGAGUAACACGUGGGUGAUCUGCCCUGCACUUCGGGAUAAGCCUGGGAAACUGGGUCUAAUACCGGAUAGGACCAUGGACUUCACGGUUUGUGGUGGAAAGCUUUUGCGGUGUGGGGAUGGGCCCGCGGCCUAUCAGCUUGUUGGUGGGGUAAUGGCCUACCAAGGCGACGACGGGUAGCCGGCCUGAGAGGGUGUCCGGCCACACUGGGACUGAGAUACGGCCCAGACUCCGUACGGGAGGCAGCAGUGGGGAAUAUUGCACAAGUGGGCGCAAGCCUGAUGCAGCGACGCCGCGUGAGGGAUGGACGGCCGUU